rnacentral:tRNA from 1 species
UCUGUAGCUUACAGUAAAGCAUAACACUGAAGAUGUUAAGAUGGCCACCCGCACCAUGGUACCCAGGGAC